UGAUAUCACAUUGAAAUACCAGUUCUUGUCUGAUCACCAAAGUUAAGCAAUAUCAAGCCUAGUCAGUACCUAGAUGAGUGACUGCUUUGGAGUACCAGGUACUGUGA